rnacentral:lncRNA from 1 species
ACAACAACAUCAUCAAAUUAGAACGGGAAAUGAAGAAAUAAACAAAACAAGAAUGGAGCAGAGGGAACUCCUUAUCAUGAUGGCCUUUUAUUUUUUGUGAAUUGUGUUUUUAAUUAUUAUCAUAAUAAUUGUGAUUACAAGCAGUCAAAACAACCGUAAAAGUCACACAUCCGGCCAUUCUAUUAGACAUCUCAAAAACUUCUUCAAACCUACCAUGCAUUCCAUAACCUCCCAUCAUCGUCGACCAAGUAAUCUCAUUCCUUUCACACAUUCCAUCAAACACUUUACGUGCAAAAACUAAACACCCACAUUUAGCAUACAUAUGUAUCAAAGCAUUCAAAUUUCUCAAAUCCAAAACAAACCCCAUUUACCAAAACAGCAUUCAAAUUUGAUUGUGCGUGCGUCGUGAACUGUUUUGAGGUUUUUUUAAGUGUUUUGUGGAAUAACAUGUGUUAAGAAGUGUUGCGUAGAAUGGUAUGAGUUCAUGCGCUUUUGCCAUGAUCAUCUUAAUUAACACCACUCACUGCGCUCAGCUAGCUUUGGCGUUUUCCUCUCUGUUUGUUGCAUUGCACACAUAAUUUGGUAUGUCUUAUUCUAUUGCUCCAUGUUCAUUCAUUAUUUAAUAAUAAAUUGAAUUUGGAAAUCAAAAGUUAAAACCCUAAUUUAAAAUGUAAAUUGUGUUUUUAAUUAAUAUCAUAAUAAUUGUGAUUAUUGGAGCAGAGGGAACUCAGUUAAAUAAUCUAGAGAAUUGGUGAUGAUGCUAGUAGGAAAAGUAGAAACAUUCUCAAACACUUGUUUAUUUCUAGCAGACCAUAUACCAUAAGAUGUCGCCAUCGCUAGUUCUCCAAUGUUAAAUCUUCGUUGCUCAUAGUGUUUUGAAACCAAUCAGUGAAAGAUAAAGGACAAUUACUCAUUCUUAAUGUCUUCACUAGCACUCUCACGUCUUAGGGCAUUGACCAGUGCAUAGAACCCCUUUGUGUCUCAGGUUACUCCUAGUAGGCAGGCAGUUGUGAAAAAUUCUCUACAUAAGAUUCACUUAUUUAGGGGGGACAUUCAUAUUCCAAAUUUUAUUCCAAAGCGGAUCCUCAGAACUGCUACAGCUAGCUUGGUUAGAAUUAGUGCUAUCCCACCCACCUCCUAAGAGUUUGAUAGCUCAAUUUGACUGAAUAUUCUCCGUCUUUGGCUUCAGCCCACAUAAUUUGAUCCGGGAUAUUCGGGCCAAAUCAAGGAAAUUUGCCUGAUGUAAUCCGCCUCAAAAGGGAGAAAGAGGCUGUCCAUUUUCCUGUGAUUCCAGUUAAAAUUAGAGUCUAUCAGAUCCUUGACCCAGAUGCAGUUCUUGGUCUGAUUAAAGUGACUUAAAGGCUUAUAACCAUUAUUUGGUAGCAACCAAUUGUCCUCCAAAAUUCUAAUAUUAUGACCACCAUUCCCAACCCGCCAGCAACGACCUUUGUUUAACAUCCAAAUAGAACUAUAUAAACUUCUCCAAUGAANNNNNNNNNNNNNNNNNNNNNNNNNNNNNNNNNNNNNNNNNNNNNNNNNNNNNNNNNNNNNNNUUAUGGAAGUACUUAGCUCUUAAACACAUUGUCACUAGAGACUCCGGAUGCCUAAGAAUUCUCCAGCUUUGUUUUGCCAAGAGAGCCAUAUUGAACUCCCUGAAAGUCCUGAACCCAAGUCCACAUUCUUGUUUUCUUUUACAUAAGUGUUUCCAGCUCUUCCAAUGAAUCUUUCGGUUGUCCGGGUUACCACCCCACCAGAAUCUACUAAUGAGGCUCUCCAUUUUGUCACAAGUAACCUUAGGGAGCAAAAAGCAACUCAUAACAUAAGUGGAUGGCUUGAGCAACUGCUUUGAUUAAGGUACUCCUUCCUGCGAAGGAAAGGUUUUUUUUUUUCCACAUUCAUAACAUAAGUGGGGAUGGCUUGAGUGAUGUUUUCAAUAGUCUCUUGAGUAGGCUCAUCCACAUUCCCAUUGACCAGGGACAAAGGCAUUUUGAAACUUUCCAACAAUCUAGGGAAGAAUACCUUUGAUUCGGUUAGCAAUUGUCUUUGGUAAUAAUUUUAAGAAUAACAUUUCACAAAGUGAUAGGCCUGUACUCUUUAGGUUCAAGAGGGUUAUUGUUUUUUGGAAUUAAACAAAUGUGGGUAUGGCUAAAGGAGCUCGGAUCAUGGUUGUGAUUGAGAACCUGGAGCACCAUAUUAGUUACCUCUCGCCCAAUAACAUCCCAAUAUAUAUGAAACAAUAUGGCAGGCAUGCCGUCGGGGCCCGGGGAUGAUAAACCAUUAAUUUGCAUAAUAGCAUGAUAAACCUCAUCUUCUCCAAAAAGGGGUAUUGAGCAUAUUCUGCAUAUCAGGGGUAACUCUAUUUGAGACCACAUCCAGAAGGGAAUUAGGAAUUUCAGGGUUGGAAGAAUAAGAAAUCUUCGUAAAAUAAGAAGUGAACACAUCCUGAAUGUCCUGUAUCUGAUCAGAGAUUGUGCCAUCUUCCAUUCUGACAUGUUUAAUUUUAUUUUUGUUUCUCCUAAGGCUAGCUUUGACACGAAAAUACUUGGUAUUUUUAUCACCAUCUUUGAGCCACAUGGCCUUUGUCCUCUGACUCCACCAAAGCUCUUCACACUCCAACAUGUCAUCAAUAUCCUUUUCCAAAAUGCUGAUAUGGUUCAUCACACCAUUAUUCUCACUUCUAGGAUAAAUGUUAGAGAGUUGAUCUUGAUGUUCCUUGAUCCUCUUAGGAACAUUCCCAAACAUGUCCCUCCCCCAACAACUAUAAAGACUAUUAAGAGUAUUACCAAUUUUUAAACCUGGGGCUAUGGAGUCAGAACUCCAAAUAUUUUUAACAAUUUUAUGGCAUUGAUCUUCCUUCAGCCAAAUCUGCUCAAAUCUCUUAGGAUAAUGAUUAAGGGGACUAUUGUUGGUAAUAGUAGAAGAGAAAUUGAUCAAAAUAGGUCUGUGAUCAGAGGUGUACCGAUUUAAAGGGAAGCAGUUAAUCCAAUUUGAGGUAGCCAAAAAUCUUUCAAGUCUGGCCUUGAUGUGAUUGCGGUCCUCUUGGUUAUUAAACUGAGUGAACAUGUUUCCUUUGUAACCAAGGUCAGACAAAUCACAAUCAUGAAUGAUGUCUUUGAAAAGAUUAGUUAUGUGGAUUCCCACCAAUCUUUUCAGCUUGAGUUGUAACAAUAUUAAAGUAAAGAAAAAGAAAAAAACCAAUUAUUUCUAUCGUCGUGCAUAUACAGUCGCCUAAUCAUGUCACACGUUUUAUUCUUCUCUUCUUUAGAGGGAUACCAUAAAGGCCAAGGGCCAUCCACCCACUAGGUAAUACAUAUAUCAAUGAAAUUUGAGAAUGAAUUUGUUGACAUGCAUAUUGCAUUUGAUUUAUUGAAUUUUAUUUAUCCACGAAUUGAAGUUAUUUUGUGUGAUGAUAGAGUUUGAUGGUAAAAUCACGAUUUAUACCCAGCGUUAUUUAUUAUUUAUUUCUUUUUAUGUGUAUUAAAUAUAUUCAAUUAGAAUUAUGAAAAUAUGAAUGAAUCCCAAUAGAUUGUUACUUUUUAACUGCUUGGUUUCUUGUAUUUUUGUUUGGAAUUAGAAGCAAAAUGUUAUGGUUUUUCAAAUCUAGGACUUUUAAUAAUAAUAAUAAUAAUAACAAGUAGAACAACUUAAUUUACUUCAGUGCUUUUUGCAGGCGUAUCUUGUUUCCAAAGUCUGUUGUACUGUCCUUAAGUCAUUAAUACAGGGUGUUGCAGUUUGGAUGCUAACAAGUAUCUUGCUGCAAGGUAGGGUGCUGCAAUUUGUUCAAUUUUGGUUUCUAAUAACAUGUCCUCGAUGUUUCAAAUUGAUACUAACAAGUAUCUUACUUUUUAAUAGUAGCAUCAAUGUUGCCCUCAGUAGCUGAUUCUUGCUGUAUUUGCUCUAUGUUACCCGUUGUAAUUUAUAAAAUUCUUUAAUUUGGCAGCUUUCCUGAUAAGAAAACAGUCUAGAAUGAUAUUUAUAAGAAAUUAUGUUAACUCCCCUAUACGAUUCAUAGAUUACUCGGGUUAGAAGCACUACAGUUUUUGCCUUCUAUACAUGCUCUAUUGUGUAUGCCUUAUUCAGUUAGCUUCUUUGAUUAAAUUAAUUGUCCUUUAUUAUUUUCAGAAUAACAUAUGCAGUUUUGUUUUGAGAGUGCAUGGUACAUUAAAAUCAUUCUUGUUUCUCAAUCUGUUACUUGCAGGUCUUAGAUACUUGCCAAUCAAUGUCAAAAUUCAGGGUUCCAUUCAAAUCUAUGGUUGUCACCUGGUAGCUUUGGACAAAAAGCUCAAUUAGAUAGUUUAAAGAAUGGCACUGUUGUCUUAAUAGCGCACCUGUCCGUUUUUUGUUAUUUCAUACUACACCUUCUAUUUAAGGGUACAUUUCACAGAAUGUUUUAGCAAAACUGAGUUUGUUGUUGCAUGAUAAAUGAGUAACAAACCUGUCAAUUUUUCUUCAUUAGUCUAGGUGUGGCUAUAUUUAAGAUC